rnacentral:rRNA from 1 species
ACGUAGGGUGCGAGCGUUAAUCGGAAUUACUGGGCGUAAAGCGUGCGCAGGCGGCUCGUUAAGACAGUUGUGAAAGCCCCGGGCUUAACCUGGGAACUGCAAUUGUGACUGGCGAGCUAGAGUGUGGCAGAGGGGGGUGGAAUUCCACGUGUAGCAGUGAAAUGCGUAGAGAUGUGGAGGAACACCGAUGGCGAAGGCAGCCCCCUGGGCUAACACUGACGCUCAUGCACGAAAGCGUGGGGAGCAAACAG